AUUGAACGCUGGCGGCAGGCCUAACACAUGCAAGUCGAGCGGAGCGGCGGACGGGUGAGUAAUGCCUAGGAAUCUGCCUGGUAGUGGGGGAUAACGUCCGGAAACGGGCGCUAAUACCGCAUACUAUCAGAUGAGCCUAGGUUGGAUUAGCUAGUUGGUGGGGUAAAGGCCUACCAAGGCGACGAUCCGUCACUGGUCUGAGAGGAUGAUCAGUCACACUGGAACUGAUACACGGUCCAGACUCCUACGGGAGGCAGCGUUGGGGAAUAUUGGACAAGGGGCGAAAGCCUGAUCCAGCCAUGCCGCGUGUGUUAAUAAGGUCUUCGGAUUUUGGAGCUCUUUAAGUUGGGAGGCGUUACCAACAGAAUAAGCACCGGCGAACUUCGUGCCAGCAGCCGCGGUAAUAC
rnacentral:rRNA from 1 species